AGGAGAAAAAAGGAGGAGGAGGAGGGGAAGGAGGAGAAGGAAGAGGAAGAAGAAUGAAUUUGGAGGGAAAAGGGAUUUGUUUGUUUGUUUCUCAAAUCCCAUCCCAUUUCCUCCCCCUCCCCCUCCUGACAAUAUCUGUGU
rnacentral:miRNA from 1 species